rnacentral:rRNA from 1 species
CACUGCCGAGAAAAGCCUCUAGAUAGAAAAUAGGUGCCCGUACCGCAAACCGACACAGGUAGUCAAGAUGAGAAUUCUAAGGUGAGCGAGCGAACUCUCGUUAAGGAACUCGGCAAAAUGACCCCGUAACUUCGGGAGAAGGGGUGCUCUUUAGGGUUAACGCCCAGAAGAGCCGCAGUGAAUAGGCCCAAGCGACUGUUUAUCAAAAACACAGGUCUCUGCUAAACCGUAAGGUGAUGUAUAGGGGCUGACGCCUGCCCGGUGCUGGAAGGUUAAGAGGAGUGGUUAGCUUCUGCGAAGCUACGAAUCGAAGCCCCAGUAAACGGCGGCCGUAACUAUAACGGUCCUAAGGUAGCGAAAUUCCUUGUCGGGUAAGUUCCGACCCGCACGAAAGGCGUAACGAUUUGGGCACUGUCUCAACGAGAGACUCGGUGAAAUCAUAGUACCUGUGAAGAUGCAGGUUACCCGCGACAGGACGGAAAGACCCCGUGGAGCUUUACUGUAGCCUGAUAUUGAAAUUCGGCACAGCUUGUACAGGAUAGGUAGGAGCCUUUGAAACGUGAGCGCUAGCUUACGUGGAGGCGCUGGUGGGAUACUACCCUAGCUGUGUUGGCUUUCUAACCCGCACCACUUAUCGUGGUGGGAGACAGUGUCAGGCGGGCAGUUUGACUGGGGCGGUCGCCUCCUAAAAGGUAACGGAGGCGCUCAAAGGUUCCCUCAGAAUGGUUGGAAAUCAUUCAUAGAGUGUAAAGGCAUAAGGGAGCUUGACUGCGAGACCUACAAGUCGAGCAGGGUCGAAAGACGGA